AGCUCCAAUAGCGUAUAUUAAAGUUGUUGCGGUUAAAAAGCUCGUAGUUGGAUCUCGGCAGCCAGGGGGCGGUUCGCUCCAAAGCGUGACUGCCCCAUUUGGCUGUGUGAUUGGCGGAGGUUCCGGGGUGCUCUUCGUUGAGUGUCCCGGUGCGCCGUCAGGUUUACUUUGAAAAAAUUAGAGUGCUCAAAGCAGGCUUUUCAGGCUUGAAUAUUCGUGCAUGGAAUAAUGGAAUAUGAACUCGUUCCUAUUUUGUUGGUUUUCGGGAAUCGAGUUAAUGAUUAAUAGGGACAAUUAGUAUUCAAACGACAGAGGUGAAAUUCUUGGACCGUUUGAAGACUAACUACUGCGAAAGCAUUUGCCAAGAGUGUUUUCA
rnacentral:rRNA from 1 species